rnacentral:rRNA from 1 species
CCAAUAGCGUAUAUUAAAGUUGCUGCAGUUAAAAAGCUCGUAGUUGAAUUUCGGGACCAUCAUGUCGGUCGUGCCUAGGUACGUACUGGCAUUGUUGGUUUCUCCCUUCUGACGAACAACGAUGUCAUUUAUUUGGUGUUGUGGGGAAUCAGGACUGUUACUUUGAAAAAAUUAGAGUGUUUAAAGCAGGCUCACGCUUGAAUACAUUAGCAUGGAAUAAUGAAAUAGGACGUUUGAUUCUAUUUUGUUGGUUUCUAGGAUCGACGUAAUGAUUAAUAGGGAUAGUUGGGGGCAUUAGUAUUCAAUUGUCAGAGGUGAAAUUCUUGGAUUUAUUGAAGACUAACUACUGCGAAAGCAUUUGCCAAGGAUGUUUUCAUUAAUCAAGAACGAAAGUUAGGGGAUCGAAGACGAUCAGAUACCGUCGUAGUCUUAACCAUAAACUAUGCCGACUAGGGAUCGGAUGAUGUUAAUUUUUUAAUAACUCAUUCGGCGCCUUACG